GCGGCCUAUCAGCUUGUUGGGGAGGUAACGGCUCACCAAGGCUUCGACGGGUAGCUGGUCUGAGAGGAUGAUCAGCCACACUGGGACUGAGACACGGCCCAGACUCCUACGGGAGGCAGCAGUGGGGAAUCUUGCGCAAUGGGCGAAAGCCUGACGCAGCCACGCCGCGUGCGGGAUGAAGGCCCUAGGGUUGUAAACCGCUUUUAACAGGAACGAAAAUGACGGUACCCGUAGAAUAAGGUGCGGCCAACUACGUGCCAGCAGCCGCGGUGACACGUAGGCACCAAGCGUUGUCCGGAUUUAUUGGGCGUAAAGAGCUCGUAGGCGGUUCAGUAAGUCGGGUGUGAAAACUCUGGGCUUAACCCAGAGACGCCACUCGAUACUAUUGUGACCUAGAGUUCGGUAGGGGAGACUGGAAUUCCU
rnacentral:rRNA from 1 species